UACGUAGGUGGCAAGCGUUGUCCGGAAUUAUUGGGCGUAAAGCGCGCGCAGGCGGUCUUUUAAGUCUGAUGUGAAAGCCCACGGCUCAACCGUGGAGGGUCAUUGGAAACUGGGAGACUUGAGUGCAGAAGAGAAGAGUGGAAUUCCACGUGUAGCGGUGAAAUGCGUAGAGAUUGGGUGGAACACCGGUGGCGAAGGCGGCUAUCUGGCUCACAACUGACGAUCAGGCACGAAAGCGUGGGGAGCAAACAGG
rnacentral:rRNA from 1 species